AGGCUUUGAAGUCUGGCUUUCGGGCCAGAUGGAGCCAUCGAUGAAACACCACCCUUGAGUAUUGAACGAUCUAACCUCGAUCCCGUGAAUCCGGGCGUGGGACCAUGUCAGCCGGUCAGUUUUACUGGGGCGGUAUCCUCCCAAAGAGUAACGGAGGAGCGCGAAGGUUGGCUCAGCGCGGUUGGCAAUCGCGUGACGAGUGCAUUGGCAUAAGCCAGCCUAACUGUGAGACUGACAAGUCGAACAGAUACGAAAGUAGGCCAAAGUGAUCCGGCGGUUUAAUGUGGAAUUGCCGUCGCUUAACGGACAAAAGGUACGCUAGGGAUAACAGGCUGAUUUCAUCCAAGAGUUCAUAUCGACGAUGAAGUUUGGCACCUCGAUGUCGGCUCAUCGCAUCCUGGGGCUGGAGAAGGUCCCAAGGGUCCGGCUGUUCGCCGGUUAAAGCGGUACGCGAGCUGGGUUCAGAACGUCGCGAGACAGUUCGGUCCUCUAUCCUCUGUGGGCGC
rnacentral:rRNA from 1 species